CAGUUAUAUGAUGGACCACGAAGCAUCAGUUAUAGGCUACAAGCAGCAAUAUGAUGGACCAUGAAGCAUCAGUUAUAGUCUACAAGCAGCAAUAUGAUGGACCAUGAAGCAUCAGUUAUAGGUUAUAGGCUACAAGCAGCAAUAUGAUGGACCAUGAAGCAUCAGUUAUAGUCUACAAGCAGCAAUAUGAUGGACCAUGAAGCAUCAGUUAUAGUCUACAAGCAGCAAUAUGAUGGACCAUGAAGCAUCAGUUAUAGGCUACAAGCAGCAAUAUGAUGGACCAUGAAGCAUCAGUUAUAGGCUACAAGCAG
ensembl:lncRNA